rnacentral:rRNA from 1 species
GACCGCUGGCGGCGUGGAUAAGACAUGCAAGUCGAGCGCUGAUUACAGGGUAGCAAUAUUCUGUAGUUGGAGCGGCGCAAGGGUGCGUAACACGUGGGUAAUCUGCCAUGAAGUUUGGGAUAACUUGCUGAAAGGCGAGCUAAUACCGGAUGUGACGAUUGGAAGGCAUCUUCUGAUUUUCAAAGUUGGGGACCGUAAGGCCUGACGCUUCAUGAUGAGCCCGCGGCCUAUCAGCUAGUUGGUGAGGUAACGGCUCACCAAGGCUAAGACGGGUAGCUGGUCUGAGAGGACGACCAGCCACACUGGAACUGAGACACGGUCCAGACACCUACGGGUGGCAGCAGUCGAGAAUUUUUCACAAUGGGCGCAAGCCUGAUGGAGCGACGCCGCGUGGGGGAUGAAUGGCUUCGGCCCGUAAACCCCUGUCAUUUGCGAUCAAACCUUAUUAUUUAAAAGAUGAUAAGCUGAUAGUAGCGAAAGAGGAAGGGACGGCUAACUCUGUGCCAGCAGCCGCGGUAAUACAGAGGUCCCAAGCGUUGUUCGGAUUCACUGGGCGUAAAGGGUGCGUAGGUGGUGAGGUAAGUCGGAUGUGAAAUCUCCGAGCUCAACUCGGAAAUGGCAUUGGAAACUACCUUGCUCGAGGGUCGGAGGGGGGACUGGAAUUCUCGGUGUAGCAGUGAAAUGCGUAGAUAUCGAGAGGAACACCAGUGGCGAAGGCGAGUCCCUGGACGACUCCUGACACUGAGGCACGAAAGCUAGGGGAGCAAACAGGAUUAGAUACCCUGGUAGUCCUAGCCGUAAACGGUGCACGUUUGCUGUAAAAGGAAUCGACCCCUUUUGUGGCGUAGCCAACGCGUUAAACGUGCCGCCUG